rnacentral:rRNA from 1 species
UACGGUCAAAUCACGCUGAAACACCGGUUCUCGUACGAUCACCGAAGUUAAGCAGCGUAGAGCCAAGUCAGUACUUAGAUGGGGGACCGCUAGGGAACACCUGGUACUGUAAG